AACGCACAUUGCGCUCCUCGGUAUUCCGGGGAGCAUGCCUGUUCGAGCGUCAUUACAUCUCUCAAGCGUAGCUUGGUAUUGGAUAGUCGUCUGAAAAGUCGUAUCCGAAAACGAGUGGCGGACAAGUACAACUUCAAGCGUAGUAAAAUUUAUCCCGCUUUGGAAGUUUGUUCUUUGCCUUGCCAAAACCCACAAAAAUUUUCAAUGAUUGACCUCGGAUCAGGUAGGGAUACCCGCUGAACUUAA
rnacentral:misc_RNA from 2 species